UUGAUGCAUAUUGCAAUGAUGCAUUUGCUAAUGUAUUAGUAGAACUUCCAGUUUGACUAAACAAAUUAGGUGUUCACUGGAUCAGAGACUUUAUGCACAUUGGAGGGGAAGAAAAGGUGUUGGGAGUGAUCCAAUACUGAGCCUGCCCCGUUCAAGCUGAUGUCCAGGCCAAUAUUGUAGGGCUCUGUGUUCAUGCUUGAUUCCUCUCUGGCUCAGUGAAUCUCUUACUAUAGAAAGUUAGGCUGCUAAGCAGAUGUUUGGGAAGCUGUGGUUUUAGACUGAGCAUGUUAACAUUCUUACUGGUUACGCAUUUAGAUCUCUGGUUGCCCCCCACCCCUGCCCCUGUUCUAACAAAAAUGUCACCCAUUUUUAGGAAGCUGAUAAUUAUAUUUUCUGCUAUAUUUUAUACUGCAUAAAACAGAUAGGGGAGGAAACUAGUUGGAUUAUGGCACUAGUAUCUUUUCUUUAAAAGUUACAUGAUUAUUUUUUAAAAAAGAAAGUGGACUCCAAGACAAAAGCCGGCCAUCUUUCAAAUGCUUGUCUGCCUGUUGCUUUGUUAUAGAUUACUAGAUCUAGAAAGACUGUUGAACUAGCCAAAAAGAGGAAUCUAAUUAAGUGUGAAGAAGGACAAAUAUGACCCAAUUUGGUGUUUAGAUUCUUUGUUUUCUGUUGUGAAUAUGAAACUGGAAUUGUGCUACAUGUUCACAACUCAGACCUGUAAAAUGAAGAGCUGUCCUGCCUUUGAGCAAAUUCAGACAGAUGUAUGUGGCAAGCCUGAAGCAAGCAUAUGCGGAAGGUAGUUUUCUAUUAUUUGUGAACUCAGAGUUGCUCUGAAUAUCCUUUCGUUAGCAGAGUGCUUUUUAAGUAUUGAGUUUUCCUGUGACAAACAAGUGCCCAGUUUGGACUGCACGUUGCAUAUUUGUGUAUUGUUAUGCCUGAUGCAGCAACUAGUGGGAGGAAGUGAGAGAAAAAGAAUCUUUUGAAAAGAAAAAUAAUCCUGAGGUUCACUUUUUAAAAGUAUAUGUUGAAGAUCCUUAAUAUUAGAAGCUGAAACCUUGUGGAAUUCCUAAUGGUAUUAUUAAGCAAAGACAGCCUGCUGGCCUGCCAAAGCAGUUAGUUAAGUGUGUGUCUCUUCAUUAAGUCAAAGAAGCGGAAGGAAAGAGAGCUGAAUUUUUGCCUCUAGCCAAACAUUUUUUCACUGUUGUUUUAGCACCACAUUAGGAUUUACGCAACACUAAUUGUGUGGUAUAGAUCAUGUUGCCUCUCGUUAGGCUAUCGUCAAUUGGGCUAAUUUGGAAAUAGGGCUGUCUUUCCAAUGAGAAACUGCAUCUGCAUUCCUGUUAAGAAAAUGUCAUAGAUCUGAAACCCUGAUUUAUCCCUGUAAAAGCCCCUUGGAAGAAUUUGGCUAGAAUGCUAAAACAGGUAUGUGUCUGAGUAGAACACAUUUCACAAAUGACACUUAAAUCAAUUAUGUGAUGAAAGAGGGCCAUUCCAGGAAGUGGAGAGCAUAACUUACGAACAUUACAAUAUAAAUAUCUUCAUAUAAAUGUUGAACUGCUGUAACUGUAGGAAUUGUGCUUGAUUUUGCUAAAGCCAUUUAGGAAAUUGACUGAAAACAUGUCAAUCAUAAAACACUAUUUUUUAAAUUGUGUACUUAAAAAUGUUAAUUGCUUUUUUAACUCUAGAGGAAAAAAACAAAAGUAUAAACUUCUAUUGAAUCCAAACUCUUGUGAGGUGUAAAAUUUGUGAAUCUUCUUUUUUUCUUUGUUUUCUGUUUCGGCAUUUAACUUCUGCUCCUGUUUCCAGGACUUCAUUUAUAAUUAAUAUUUGUGAUUUUUUUUUUUAAUCUUGCCCCUAAGUUCGGGAAAAUAUGCAGUUAACCAGAGGAAGCUAUAUGCGUAAGAGAGAAGUACCAUCAGAUGUAAGUGGUCUUCAGACUCAAUUUUACAGCCCUUAUAAUCUAGAUGAUGAAAAAGAGGUUUACAGACUAUCCGCUUUUUUUCUACAGACAUAUGAAAAUAGGGCAAAAUGGGUUUGAAAGUAGGAACGUACAGUACACUCAAGUCAAUGCAAGGUCGUGUUUCCUGUUUCAGGUCGCUAAGUAUAAAGCCAGAACUUUUUUUACAGCACUUACUACACCAACAUAGUUCUUGCAGAAGUCUGUGUGAGAGAAGCACAGUCUUUGCAGGCAGAAAUUUCCUGGUUGCUUUGAGGUGGGUACAUCUUCAGCCAAGUCUGCCCCCGCCGAAAAAAAAACCACCGAGAAAGAUCCAUGCUUCUGCAUCUUAAGGAGAAAAAAAGUCUUCCAAAGGCGUUGCUCCGCUUCUUCAUAAGAAGAAAAGAGAUUCCUGGCCCUUGCCACUACAAAUGGCAAAGGUUUCAAAAAGGGCUGCCACAGGGUGUUAAUUUCUUGUCUUUUCUAGCACCUUAAAUUGCCUUAUUCUCAUUUGAGAUCCAUAAGAAAUCCCCUGUGCUAGGCAGCUGCAGGGCUGUGGACUACACCUGCAAAGUCUUUGUUUCUUCUGGACAGAAGGUUCUUAAAAAAUAAUGCAGGCAUCAAAACCACAUGUGUAUUAGUCUUUUCUUCAGCUGGAAGAGAGGCAGCAUUCAUACCUCAUAAAGAUUCCUAUUAAGCCAUUGUGUUAAUAUUGACAAUCUCUACUUGGAAUGUCGCUGUUACUAGUAAUUAUUUUUGCGUUUUACCUGGAGAAAUUGGCGACAUCAGCAAGGGUUUCAAACACUGGGCCUCUUCUGAAACAAAUGUGUUUACUCAACAUGACAAUAUUUGGAUUCUGGAGCCAGAAUCUUCACUUGCAUUGACUUUCCUGGUGUGGGACAAGGGUUUUCACCUAUAGAUGUACUUCUGAUUUUCUUCACUUUUAUUUAUUGGUGUUCCUUUUCAAGUAUCUUGAAACAGUGCCAUGCCUGUUUCAGCUAGCAGAGCUGCUUCCUGGGCAGUGUAUGAAGAAGAUGCCCACAGUGGAGAGGGGAGUGCUGGAUGCUGCUGUGUGACUGCAUUGUGUUGUGUGGGAGCACACAGUACUGGUCAGUGCUGGUGAAGCAGGAGUUAAUAUCUCUUGGCUACUCAGCUGGUAAAUGUGUGUCUGGGAUUGUUAUAACCAGUCAAGCCUAGCAAUGAAGCUUGGACUGAACCUGUGGUGAAGGUGAGUAUCGUCUGCCACAGCUGAGACUGGCAUGAAGCCAUGAAGCAAAGAGAGCUGAGGAGGUGCCCAUCUACAGUGAAGGGAAGGAUGGUGUCAGCAUGGCAAGUGCGGUUUGCUUGGUCAGGCAGACCAGGGAACAGGAAUGGUUGGAAGGGGAAAGGAGGUGAGGAAGGCUCAGGUAUGUAGAGGGUGUGUGUUGGGGCUGGAGCUGCAGGAGAUGGGGCUGUGAAUUGAGGCAGGGAACUGGGUGGUUGCAUGUUCUCAAGGUGUUUCUGUGCAGACGGAUUUGAGAAUGAGCCUUAGUUGUGGGGUAGCGUCGACUUCCAAUAUUCAUCACAGCCACUUGUAGCCUGGCCUGAGAAAUGCCACACUCCCCAGUGGGCAACAGCUCAUCAUGUUGACUUCAGGAAAUCAAAACACAAGUAAUUGUAGCCUGAGCUAAACAGCAGGUAGAGACUAUCUUCUGUCUGUGCAGUCCAUAGGCACAGAGAAUGCUGUGGUACGUCAUCGUGAAGAAUUUGGGUGGGAACCUCUCUCAUUUUUCUGACCCCACGUAAAGCUAAAGCAUCUCCCCUUUGCUCUUGGACCAUUAUGCACUAGGCACCUAGCUGACUGAAAUUCUGCUUUCCUCCAGGAUCAGUAUUAUAGAGAAGAAUAGUAUCUCCACUAGUGCACAAAAAUUGCUCUGACAGCUUAUCACUGCUUAUUUACCAGCUGACUGUUCUCACUUUCUUUAGGGGCUAGAUAAUAAGCACAGUGAAACAAUUACUGUGCUUCAUUGAUGUGCUAACCCUCAUAGCCUCUUUGCUGUUGAACUCCAAAAACCAGCUGCAUUCACUGUUAAUUGAGGUUUGUCUUCCACAGAUAAUGAAGGAUGAUGAUUCUUCAGUCAUAGCAGGCAUGAUUAUAUGCAUUGACUCAUGGACAGUUAUUUUCGACAGACCUGCCUAUAUCACCUUGGCAUAAGUAAAAGGUGAUUGCUAAAUGUCUUACCUCCAUUUAUCAAGAUUUCACUCAUAGAAGUGUAGGACUGAAAGAAACCAGCUGGGUCAGAGCAUGCAGUCUUCUCUAAUUGCAGAAAACAAAGCAAUAGACAUUAAAAAAACAAAGCAAUAGACAUUAAACUCCGACUUGGAGAAUACCUUCUUCAUCUGUCUUUACAUACCAUGGGCCACAGGGCACUUCCUGUUAUGCUUCGAAAACUUUACAUUUUUAGUAAAAGAUCAAAAGCAACAGUGAUAGUUGGACUACAAGAAGAUGAUGGAAGAGAUCAAGAGUACCAACAACAUCCUAGAUCCUUUCAAAGGACGGCAACAGAAAAUUCUCACUUCUUUAUUUGCACAGAUGGAGCUGUCAAAGUGGAUUUGGAGCUGGAUUUAAAGACUUCAAGAUAUGUAAAUUUAAAAGAGGGGGAAGCAUGCCAACAGGUUUCCACCAACAAAUGGAGGCAUCACUUUUGGUGCAUCCUCUGGACUAAAAGGCUCCUGGCAUCAGGGAAAUAAAGCAAGAUGUAUUUUUAUAUUAGCAGGCAGUGGCUGCCGCUGGAGGAGAACCGUUCUAGUGCUAUAAAAUGACUCCAGAUGGAGACCCUCUCGUCGGCCGCUGACUUCAGGCUCAGGCAAAGCUGAAACGUAAUGCUUGUCCCGAUGGUCACCAUCCUUGGCCAGGAAAUACGGGAAUGUGUUUGGCUCGGGGAACAGCAGCAUUCUCCCCUUACGACAUCUGAUUUAUUGUAUGUCUGUUAAAACAAUAGUUUUGGAAUAAUUUUUAGAUUUGCUUUAAGAAAAGGAAGAAAAUGAAGAUGAAUGAAAUGGGACUGGUGCUGUGGGCUUGACAGGCGUAGCACAGAAAUCAGUCCCCACAGACUUGGUGCUAAAAGUCACACUGAAUGUCUGGAUCCAGUGCUCCUGGCAGAUCAUUUUUCCAUCUGCUUGGGAAAGUCACCACUGCUGUCUUCCAACAGCUGAGGCGGGGAUGCAGCCAAAGCUUCCUCCUGGCAGGCUGAGCCGGCAAGGGAUGUGGGUGCCCACCACCAUCAGGACCAAAUGCCGUCAAAAAAAUUAAAACUAUAAAACUUGAGCGGUGCCCACUGUGCAGGGAAGGAAAAGAAACCUUUUUCCUGCGUGCGGAGGGUACGUCACUGCUGCGGCGGCAGCGAGGCAAGGGGCUGAGCAAGCCCAGGGCUAGCUCAGCCCUGCUCAGGACUUCUCUGCAGAGCGACUGGUGUCCACACGUGCUGCUGCAGCACCAGGAGGGCAUCCAGGCUGGAAAGACGAUACCGCCGCCAGGAUAUGCAGCAGCAGUAAUGGAAUAAGGAUUUUCUGUGCCUUAGUGCUGAAAUGCUUCAGGGUUUACCUGUCACGGUCUCAAAUCCAAACAAAGAAAAUCCUGGCUCUGGUGAGGCAGCGAACAGAUGCUGCCGCUUGUUCCUUCUGCUCUGGAGGAGGCAAAGGAAGUUAUCUAUUAGCUGAUCCAAGCUAAGGCGUAUAGUACAAAGGAUCUUUGCGUCAGCCCCCAUUUUUACUCUUGCAGAAAACCCACCCGUUCUCGUCUAGCAGAUAAUUUGUGCACAUUGCGUGUUUUCUUUGGAAAUGACUUGCACUACACUAAAUUUUGAUUCUCUCUUUUUCUGUAGUCUGCCAGGUUUUCUGCACUUUUCUAAGUGACCCGCACUUAAACAGCUUGUCCUGGCUGCUGUGCUAUUGUUCCGCACACAUGUGGUAUCGCUGCUAUUGCUGCCGGACUGUUUGUCUUUUGAUUACGAGUGGCUUGAAGAUUAAGCCUCAAUGAGCCGGCACCGUUAGGUUUGCAUGAGUUUUCCUCUCCUGCAGCAGCCCAGCCUGGCAGGUGACUUUGGUAUUGUUGUGCCGUGUGGGGCUACGUACGCAUGUAGGAAGUUCACAGGGGAGAUUUUCUAAGCUUUCCUUUCCUGGUGAGUGAUCUGUAAACACGCUCUCAACGCCAAGCAUUUGAUUUUUCUGUUGUCCUCGUGGCAACAUGCUGAGGAUCAGCUGUGCGCCACGUUUUUUUCCCCCUUCAGAAAAAUUGGAGAUUUCAAGGAGGUGGAUUGUAAUCCAUUGUUGGAUACCAGUUCUGUCGGGUUUCCUUCUCCGCCGAAAACAGCCAACAGGAAAGUAAUUACAGGAGCAGAUGUGACUUGUGACGUAAAUGUUACUUCUGGCCUUUUCUUUCUCCCCCCCUCUUUUUUUUUUUUUUUUUUUUUUGAAGUAAUCCGACGGGGUGAUUCCAAAGCAACAGUCAACCGGUACGUGAGACACAUGGGCCUAUGGUGGUCAUUUCAAGCUUUUCCUUGACCCAGUCAGGUCCAGGGACAAUUUGCAAUAGCUUACAAGUCACUUUUUCAAAUGAAAUGAGCAAGUAAGACAAAUUUUUGGAGCGGCUUCAAUAUGUGCAUCUUGUGUAACUGCCUGCUUGAAUCCCACUGCUCUAUCCACUGACUUAUUGAUGUCUCUGCCCUGAGCGAGAUACUGGUGUUGCCUGUCAUUCAUUUGGAGUAAUAAAUCAGUAAGUAUGUCGCAUCUCAUGUUUCUCUUAAAGGCAAGUUAAUUCCAUACUCUAAAGUCUGGAAAUAAAGAUGGAUUAAACUA